rnacentral:lncRNA from 1 species
UCACUUCUCUGAUAAGUGGAAUUUCUCGUACACCCCCUGUCUUGGUGAAAUCUUAGAGGUAUUUCUCGUACACCCCUCUGUCUUGGUGACAAUCCAGAGGUAUUUCGCCAAAACACCCCUCCAGUGGUGAAUUCAGAGGUAUUUCUCGUACACCCCCUGACUUGGUGACAAUCCAGAGGUAUUUCGCCAAAACACUCCUCUGGUGGUGAAUUCAGAGGUAUUUCUCCUACACCCCCUGACUUGGUGACAAUCCAAAGGUAUUUCGCCAAAACACCCCUCCGGUGGUGAAUUCAGAGGUAUUUCUCGUACACCCUCUGACUUGGUGACAAUCCAGAGGUAUUUCGCCAAAACACCCCUCCAGUAGUGAAUUCAAAGGUAUUUCUCGUACACCCUCUGACUUGGUGACAAUCCAGAUAUAGUCUUAUCCUUGGAGGGGACUUCCCUUGGGAG